AACGAACGCUGGCGGCAGGCUUAACACAUGCAAGUCGAGCGCCCCGCAAGGGGAGCGGCAGACGGGUGAGUAACGCGUGGGAAUCUACCCAUCUCUACGGAAUAACGCAUGGAAACGUGUGCUAAUACCGUAUACGUCCUUCGGGAGAAAGAUUUAUCGGAGGUGGAUGAGCCCGCGUUGGAUUAGCUAGUUGGUGGGGUAAAGGCCUACCAAGGCGACGAUCCAUAGCUGGUCUGAGAGGAUGAUCAGCCACACUGGGACUGAGACACGGCCCAGACUCCUACGGGAGGCAGCAGUGGGGAAUAUUGGACAAUGGGCGCAAGCCUGAUCCAGCCAUGCCGCGUGAGUGAUGAAGGCCCUAGGGUUGUAAAGCUCUUUCACCGGUGAAGAUAAUGACGGUAACCGGAGUAGAAGCCCCGGCUAACUUCGUGCCAGCCGCCGCCGUAAGAC
rnacentral:rRNA from 1 species